rnacentral:rRNA from 1 species
UAGGGAAUCUUCCACAAUGGGCGAAAGCCUGAUGGAGCAACGCCGCGUGUGUGAUGAAGGGUUUCGGCUCGUAAAACAUUGUUGUAAGAGAAGAAUGACAUUGAGAGUAACUGUUCAAUGUGUGACGGUAUCUUACCAGAAAGGAACGGCUAAAUACGUGCCAC